rnacentral:rRNA from 1 species
GACGAACGCUGGCGGCGUGCUUAACACAUGCGAGUCGUACGGUAAGGCCCUUUCGGGGGUACACGAGUGGCGCACGGGUGAGUAACACGUGAGUAACCUGCCCACAACUUUGGGAUAACGCUAGGAAACUGGUGCUAAUACUGGAUAUGUGCUCCUGCUGCAUGGUGGGGGUUGGAAAGCUCCGGCGGUUGUGGAUGGACUCGCGGCCUAUCAGCUUGUUGGUGGGGUAGUGGCCUACCAAGGCGGCGACGGGUAGCCGGCCUGAGAGGGUGACCGGCCACAUUGGGACUGAGAUACGGCCCAGACGCCUACGGGAGGCAGCAGUGGGGAAUAUUGCACAAUGGGCGCAAGCCUGAUGCAGCAACGCCGCGUGCGGGAUGACGGCCUUCGGGUUGUAAACCGCUUUCAGCAGGGACGAAGCUUUUUGUGACGGUACCUGCAGAAGAAGCACCGGCUAACUACGUG